UGUACCGGGGCUAAACAUAUUACCGAAGCUGUGGAUUGUCCUUUGGACAAUGGUAGGAGAGCGUUCUAAGGGCGUUGAAGCAUGAUCGUAAGGACAUGUGGAGCGCUUAGAAGUGAGAAUGCCGGUGUGAGUAGCGAAAGACGGGUGAGAAUCCCGUCCACCGAUUGACUAAGGUUUCCAGAGGAAGGCUCGUCCGCUCUGGGUUAGUCGGGUCCUAAGCUGAGGCCGACAGGCGUAGGCGAUGGAUAACAGGUUGAUAUUCCUGUACCACCUAUAAUCGUUUUAAUCGAUGGGGGGACGCAGUAGGAUAGGCGAAGCGUGCGAUUGGAUUGCACGUCUAAGCAGUAAGGCUGAGUAUUAGGCAAAUCCGGUACUCAUUAAGGCUGAGCUGUGAUGGGGAGAAGACAUUGUGUCUUCGAGUCGUUGAUUUCACACUGCCGAGAAAAGCCUCUAGAUAGAAAAUAGGUGCCCGUACCGCAAACCGACACAGGUAGUCAAGAUGAGAAUUCUAAGGUGAGCGAGCGAACUCUCGUUAAGGAACUCGGCAAAAUGACCCGUAACUUCGGGAGAAGGGGUGCUCUUUAGGGUUAACGCCCAGAAGAGCCGCAGUGAAUAGGCCCAAGCGACUGUUUAUCAAAAACACAGGUCUCUGCUAAACCGUAAGGUGAUGUAUAGGGGCUGACGCCUGCCCGGUGCUGGAAGGUUAAGAGGAGUGGUUAGCUUCUGCGAAGCUACGAAUCGAAGCCCCAGUAAACGGCGGCCGUAACUAUAACGGUCCUAAGGUAGCGAAAUUCCUUGUCGGGUAAGUUCCGACCCGCACGAAAGGCGUAACGAUUUGGGCACUGUCUCAACGAGAGACUCGGUGAAAUCAUAGUACCUGUGAAGAUGCAGGUUACCCGCGACAGGACGGAAAGACCCCGUGGAGCUUUACUGUAGCCUGAUAUUGAAAUUCGGCACAGCUUGUACAGGAUAGGUAGGAGCCUUUGAAACGUGAGCGCUAGCUUACGUGGAGGCGCUGGUGGGAUACUACCCUAGCUGUGUUGGCUUUCUAACCCGCACCACUUAUCGUGGUGGGAGACAGUGUCAGGCGGGCAGUUUGACUGGGGCGGUCGCCUCCUAAAAGGUAACGGAGGCGCUCAAAGGUUCCCUCAGAAUGGUUGGAAAUCAUUCAUAGAGUGUAAAGGCAUAAGGGAGCUUGACUGCGAGACCUACAAGUCGAGCAGGGUCGAAAGACGGACUUAGUGAUCCGGUGGUUCCGCAUGGAAGGGCCAUCGCUCAACGGAUAAAAGCUACCCCGGGGAUAACAGGCUUAUCUCCCCCAAGAGUUCACAUCGACGGGGAGGUUUGGCACCUCGAUGUCGGCUCAUCGCAUCCUGGGGCUGUAGUCGGUCCCAAGGGUUGGGCUGUUCGCCCAUUAAAGCGGUACGCGAGCUGGGUUCAGAACGUCGUGAGACAGUUCGGUCCCUAUCCGUCGUGGGCGUAGGAAAUUUGAGAGGAGCUGUCCUUAGUACGAGAGGACCGGGAUGGACAUACCUCUGGUGUACCAGUUGUCGUGCCAACGGCAUAGCUGGGUAGCUAUGUGUGGACGGGAUAAGUGCUGAAAGCAUCUAAGCAUGAAGCCCCCCUCAAGAUGAGAUUUCCCAACUUCGGUUAUAAGAUCCCUCAAAGAUGAUGAGGUUAAUAGGUUCGAGGUGGAAGCAUGGUGACAUGUGGAGCUGACGAAUACUAAUCGAUCGAAGACUUAAUCAA
rnacentral:rRNA from 1 species